rnacentral:rRNA from 1 species
UACGUAGGGUGCGAGCGUUGUCCGGAAUUAUUGGGCGUAAAGAGCUCGUAGGCGGCCUGUCGCGUCGGAUGUGAAAGCCCGGGGCUUAACCCCGGGUCUGCAUUCGAUACGGGCAGGCUAGAGUGUGGUAGGGGAGAUCGGAAUUCCUGGUGUAGCGGUGAAAUGCGCAGAUAUCAGGAGGAACACCGGUGGCGAAGGCGGGUCUCUGGGCAACAACUGACGCUGAGGAGCGAAAGCGUGGGGAGCAAACAGG